GAGAGAGAGAGAGAGAGAAUAAAACAGAGCUGCAAUGCUUUGAUUGUAUGAUGUGAUGCUUUGGCUGCAGUGCUGUGUGUUGAGGCAGGUAAGAUAGGGGUAUGUACUGUAUGAGUGUAUGAGCGAGAGAUGAGGUGGAAUAAGACGUAGAGAUAUAUGAUAGAGAUGACAGCCAGACAAAGAAAGGUGCACAAUAUGCAGAGAGAGAAAGAUGGGAAAAGAAAGAGAGGAAUGGAGGUUAGGUGGAGGGGAAAGAUCAAGGUGAAAUAAAGAGAAAGCCAGAAUAAAAAAGAGGCAAAGAGGGUAAUAGGAGGUAUAAAGGUGAAGUAGAGGAGAAUGAGACUGAGGUAUAGACAAAGUAAUAAAGGUGGAGUCGAGAGAGAAAAACCUAGAAAAUAAAGAGGUGGAGAGAAAGAUGGGAUGGAAAGGUAGAGGGGAAAGAGAUAAAACAGGUUAAGAGCAACACAAAGUAUACAGAGAGUUGAUGUAGAGAGGAAGCAAUGGAGAGAAUGAUGAGGUAGAGAAGAAGCAAUGGAGAGAAUGAUGAGGUAGAGAAGAAGCAAUGGAGAGAAUGAUGAGGUAGAGAAGAAGCAAUGGAGAGAAUGAUGAGGUAGAGAAGAAGCAAUGGAGAGAAUGAUGAGGUAGAGAAGAAGCAAUGGAGAGAAUGAUGAGGUAGAGAAGAAGCAAUGGAGAGAAUGAUGAGGUAGAGAAGAAGCAAUGGAGAGAAUGAUGAGGUAGAGAAGAAGCAAUGGAGAGAAUGAUGAGGUAGAGAAGAAGCAAUGGAGAGAAUGAUGAGGUAGAGAGGAAGCAAUGGAGAGAAUGAUGAGGUAGAGAGGAAGCAAUGGAGAGAAUGAUGAGGUAGAGAAGAAGCAAUGGAGAGAAUGAUGAGGUAGAGGAGAAAUGAUUAAGAGAAUAAUGAGGUAGAGAGGAAACAAUGGAGAGAACGAUGAGGUAGAGAAGAAGCAAUGGAGAGAAUGAUGAGGUAGAGAAGAAGCAAUGGAGAAAACAAUAAGGUAUAUAGAGGGGUGAGGUAGAGGAGAAAUGAUGAAGAGAAUGUUGGGGUAGAGAAGAACCAGUGGAGAGAAUAAUAAGGUAUGUAGAUGGUAAGGUACAGGGAAAAGAGGUUGUAAAAACAAGAAGAGGUAUAGAUGUGAGAAAAAGACAAUGAUUUGGAAAAAAGAGAUAGAAGAGAGGAAAAGGAGAGAAUGAUGAGGUAUAUAAAGAGGUAAGGUAGAGGAGAAAGAUACAAAAAGAGGUAGAAAGGCGAGGAAAAGAAUGAGAAAAAAAUAUAGAGAGGUGAGGUAUAGGAGAAGAGCUGAAGAAAAGAUUAUAUAUCUAGAGAGGAGAGGUAGAGGAGAAGAGAUGGAAAGAUGGAUGAGGUAUGUAGAGAAGUGAGGUAGAGGAGAAGCAAUGUAGUAAAGGAUAAAGUAUUUAGAGGGGUGAGGUAAAGAGGAAAAAGGUUUCGAUAACAAGAAAAGGUAGAGAUGUGAGGAACAGUAAAGGAAAAGAUAGAAAGAAUUGGAAAAUAGAAGAGGAAAGGUGAAGAAAACAAGAUGAGGUAUAUACUGUAGAAAAGUGACAUUGAAGUGAAGUGAAGUUGAUGGAGAGAAUGAUGAGGAAUAAAGAGAGGUGAGGUAGAGGAUGAGUGAUGGAGACUGGUGAGGUAAAGAGGAAGUAUGUGAGAACAAGAAGAGAUGUAAAAAAGAAAAAGACUGAGCAAAUAAAGAGGUGAGGUAGAGGAGAAGAGAUGUAGAAAAGUUUAGGUAUCUAGAGAAGUGAGAUAAAGGAGUAGAGAUGGAGAGAAGGAUGAGGUAUGUAGUGAGGUGAACAGGCAGAAGAGGUGAAAAGAAAAAGAUAUAAUGUCGGAUAAGAGCACGAAAGAGUGCAGGAAAAAUAACUUGUAGAGAGAAAUAAAGAAACGAAUGAAUGAAAUGAAAGGGAGAUGAAUGUCAGUAAUACCCGGUAAUUGAAUUGAACUGUAGGAACUCUCUGAGCUGAGUUUAUGCUCAGUGGAUUUUUUGGUAAAUAAUAAUUUUCAGUAUUGCUUUAAAUGAAAAAGCUAAUUUGGCUCCGUCUGAGAAAAUAUGACCCUGACAAAUCAUCGGUCUGAACUGCUGUUCUUACUUCUUCUUUCAUCAUUUAGAAAUAUGUGUUUGUUAUUAUUUGUUUUAAAGCGUAAAUCUGUGAAGUUGUAGAUUCGCCCUUCUUUUUAACUAAAUACAAAAGCUAACUAAACUGAAAUGAACCCAGAUGUGUAACAGAGAGAGAGAGAGAGAGAACGAAGCAGAGGAUGAGAGAGACAAAAGGGUGAGGUAGAGAAAGAAUAGUGAGGCAUAGCCAGAGAGAGAGAGAGAUUGUGUUGCAGUAGCUCAGGUUAUUUUAGGCUACUCUCACCUACAGAAGAUUACAGUGCAUAAGAGGACUCACUAUUAAAGGAACUCAGCUGGAUCUUCUCUCCCUCAGAUCGACUCACUCUAUACACUCUGUAUAUUCCCUGUGGAAGAGAGGGUUGAGUGUGUGCAUGUGUGCAUGUGUAUGUGUUGAGUUUGCAGCUAAAUGUCAGAUGCUACUGAUGCAAUAACAGCUUUAUUUAUUUUAAGUCGUGUGGAGAAUUUAGGACACCCCAUGAAAACAUUUCUUUUUAAUAUAUUAUUAUUAUUCAUUUUACAUUUUACAACUUAUAGCUAAUUUACAUGAAACUCCUUCACUUUGUGUUUUAUUAUAUAUAAGCUCCAUUUCUCAAAACUGUUCAGAUUACAAAUUAGACUUAAAAAUUCAUAUGCUUAAAUAUGUUAAAGUGGCAGUCCCCAUAAUUUUGUUUCUAAACUGAAAGCAGAAGCAUUUCUGAGUAUAGAAUAGACAAAAUAUGGUGUUUAAUGGCCUAAUGGCCAUCCCUACGCAUAAUUACGUACUUUAAAAGCCUCUAAAAGAGGAUCCGGCUCAGUUUUACUGAACGCGAGCAGCUGGUGGAGCAAUGGAGACUUCAGAAGGGGGGAAACUCAGAGCUCAGUAGCUCCUCCAUUCACUCAUAGUAAAAACAAAGAAACGAAGGAGUAGUGCUGGACGAUAUGGCCAAAAUUCAUAUCACAAUAUAUUCCUUAAAUUUCGGUCGAUACGAUAUAAUUUCGAUAUUGAUAUAAAUACUUUGAAGGCCUCAGAAAACUGCUAAGAAGCCCUGCAAUCCCUGCAGCACUGCAAAUUUAAAUUAUUAUAUAACUGUGUAUUUGCACUUUUUGUAUUGCUGGCAUCAGAUACCCUCAUUAUAUGCACAUCUAUCUAUCUAUCUAUCUAUCUAUCUAUCUAUCUAUCUAUCUAUCUAUCUAUCUAUCUAUCUAUCUAUCUAUCUAUCUAUCUAUCUAUCUAUCUAUCUAUCUAUCUAUCUAUCUAUCUAUCUAUCUAUCUAUCUAUCUAUCUAUCUAUCUAUCUAUCUAUCUAAUGGAAAUCUGUACCUACUACUGUCUGAAAAUUUAAUUUAAGACAUUGAAACCUCCUUUCACAAAAACUGUAAUACUUUAGAAAUAAAAAGUAGUCAAAAUAAAUGAAUGCUCAAUAUUAUUUGCAUAUAGCAAAAUAAUAACAUGACAUCCCUGUCAAACAUAAGCCUAUAUAACUAUUACCAAUAAAAAUAACUUUAAAUUACAACAGAGGCAGAGCUUUUUGUUCUUUGUGAACAAAUUUAACAGAUUAAAACAAGUGUUUCAACUAGGAUAUAGAAUACAAUAAGCCUUUAUAAAUAAAGCGACAAGAUUUUCCCGUCAAAUAAACAAACCUACAGGCUUUAUCAACUAUGAAUAACUUAGUUACAACAUAAGCUAUAAAAGUGCUUCA